CCGUUUUGAACGCACGCGUUCUACCGUGUCUGGCUUUAGAGGAGAUAGCGGCAUUGGACACUCAGGAUGUUGGUAUACGACGCUUCCCACAACGUCGACGUCUGAAGAGCAGCAGGAACACACCCGAUCAGUGACUGAAACCAUGAUGUCGGUAGCUGCUGAGUUGCCUGUCUCCUGCGCCUACAAAGG